rnacentral:tRNA from 1 species
GCCGAUUUAGCUCAGUAGGUAGAGCAAUUGAUUUGUAAUCAAUCCGUCGUCAGUUCGAUUCUGACAUUCGGUA